AUAUGUCAUAUCAUAAAACGUUUCUCAUAUUUUUUUAAGAAUAUUUUUGGAAUUCUGGUAUUAACAAGUGUAUAAAUGUGUUACAUGUGGAAAACACAUUUUCUCUCUGCAUUGGCUUGCACUAGUUAGCCUUAUCCAUAUUUAGACGAUCUGAUUAAGGAGGAGAAGGAGGUGUUUACACCCAGUAAGCUGUAGGUUAAGGGACCUAUAUAUGGGCAUGGCUUGAGAUGAAACUCGUGGCCAAUAUAAA